GGAUGAAAGGGGUGGGAAAAGUAUGGGAUAGUUGUCAGUGUGGCAGGAAAUCCUGUCUGUUACUUGUUUCUCCCAACCCUUUGGUUUCAAAAUCCCACCAAUUCGGUGGGACUUCUGGGAAAGACAAGGGAAAGACCAGACGAUCGUCUCCAACAGCAGUAGGUUCUGCCCAAGCGCCUCCUUCAGCUCUGUUUUACUUUUCCCAUCUAAGGAACUAGAGGUAAGCAAGCUACAACAAUGGGAUGAUGCUUAGUUUUUUUCUCUCCUGGCAGAGGACACAGAGGUAAGAAGGCUACAACAGUUGGAUAGUGCUCAGUUUUUUCUCCCCUGGCAGAGAUGACUCUUUAUCAUCUAAUGACACAAAAGAAGCAAAAAUCAGAUGUGGGACUCAGAUAUGGAUAGAACUUUGUUUGAGUUCUUGGAUGUCCAAGUUGCAGAGGGCAAUAAGUCCCAAAUGGAUUCAAGGAUACAACAUAUUUGCAAGUAGCUCAUGUUAUUAAUUCUACCCACAUAUUGAGUGUCAAUAAAGAGAAUAUUCGAAAUCGAGUAAAAAGUGUAAAGAAGGUCUAUAGGACCCUCUAUGCCAUCAUCAACACUUGUGGUUUUGGCUAGAAUUCUGAACUCAAGCAGUGGACAUACCAUGAAGAUAGCAUGUGGAACUCCUACAUAUUAAAGCACUCAGAAGCUAAGUACUACAAAAACUAGAAAUUUGAGUUCUUUGAUAUUUGUGAGAACACUUUUUGUGAGGACAUCGCAACUGGCUAAUGGGCUCGAAAUCGAAAGGCACGUGAUAACAGCCAAAAGUCAAUCAGAGGCAAGGGGUGGCAAUCCAAUGAACUUUGAUGACAAUGCCUUGGAGUCAAGCAUGAAUGUGGUAGGUGGGGGCUCACAUGAUCCAAUGACAUCACCUAUUGGAGAAGGGCCUAGUAGAAAUCGAUUUACUCCAAGGCCAAAAAAACAAAAACAAAGUGUUGAUUUUGAUUAGCUAGCCACCAUUGCUGAAUGCAUCAAGGAUUUGGCAGCUACACUUCGAGAACCACCCAAGCAACCCAGCCCUUAUCAGAUGGAUUUGACACCUAUAGUCCAUGCCAUACGAGAGAUCCCUGAUAUUUCUAAUAUCAUAGGUAGUUGGUCUUUUGAAUACUUGAAUGCAAAUCUAGUGCAAGCUAAUAUAUUUAUGUCAUAUGAUGUCUCACACAAGGUAGACUUUCUUUGGAGGCAUUGGCAUUCACAAGACCCCAAUGAGUAGAAGGGUUGUUCAGAUUAUGGCUAUAGUCUUUUGCCUUUUUUGUGAACUCUUUACGCAUAUAUUAGUUUAAAACUAUGUAGUUAGAGCUCUAACUCUAGGUUGAAGAACUUCUUUCUGUUUAAUUGUUUUAGAAUGGAAUGUUUGAGUGGGAUGUACAUUUUUUUAAUGGUUUCUUAUAGACUAAUGAUGUAAUAUUCUCAAACUUUUGAACAAAUUAUGGGCGAACUAUAUGCUCUCCAUUUUGGAAGUUC